rnacentral:rRNA from 1 species
UCAUCUCCGGGGGUAGAGCACUGUUUCGGCAAGGGGGUCAUCCCGACUUACCAACCCGAUGCAAACUGCGAAUACCGGAGAAUGUUAUCACGGGAGACACACGGCGGGUGCUAACGUCCGUCGUGAAGAGGGAAACAACCCAGACCGCCAGCUAAGGUCCCAAAGUCAUGGUUAAGUGGGAAACGAUGUGGGAAGGCCCAGACAGCCAGGAUGUUGGCUUAGAAGCAGCCAUCAUUUAAAGAAAGCGUAAUAGCUCACUGGUCGAGUCGGCCUGCGCGGAAGAUGUAACGGGGCUAAACCAUGCACCGAAGCUGCGGCAGCGACGCUGAUGCGUUGUUGGGUAGGGGAGCGUUCUGUAAGCCUGCGAAGGUGUACUGUGAGGUAUGCUGGAGGUAUCAGAAGUGCGAAUGCUGACAUAAGUAACGAUAAAGCGGGUGAAAAGCCCGCUCGCCGGAAGACCAAGGGUUCCUGUCCAACGUUAAUCGGGGCAGGGUGAGUCGACCCCUAAGGCGAGGCCGAAAGGCGUAGUCGAUGGGAAACAGGUUAAUAUUCCUGUACUUGGUGUUACUGCGAAGGGGGGACGGAGAAGGCUAUGUUGGCCGGGCGACGGUUGUCCCGGUUUAAGCGUGUAGGCUGGUUUUCCAGGCAAAUCCGGAAAAUCAAGGCUGAGGCGUGAUGAGGAGGCACUACGGUGCUGAAGCAACAAAUGCCCUGCUUCCAGGAAAAGCCUCUAAGCAUCAGGUAACAUCAAAUCGUACCCCAAACCGACACAGGUGGUCAGGUAGAGAAUACCAAGGCGCUUGAGAGAACUCGGGUGAAGGAACUAGGCAAAAUGGUGCCGUAACUUCGGGAGAAGGCACGCUGAUAUGUAGGUGAAGUCCCUUGCGGAUGGAGCUGAAAUCAGUCGAAGAUACCAGCUGGCUGCAACUGUUUAUUAAAAACACAGCACUGUGCAAACACGAAAGUGGACGUAUACGGUGUGACGCCUGCCCGGUGCCGGAAGGUUAAUUGAUGGGGUCAGCGCAAGCGAAGCUCUUGAUCGAAGCCCCGGUAAACGGCGGCCGUAACUAUAACGGUCCUAAGGUAGCGAAAUUCCUUGUCGGGUAAGUUCCGACCUGCACGAAUGGCGUAAUGAUGGCCAGGCUGUCUCCACCCGAGACUCAGUGAAAUUGAACUCGCUGUGAAGAUGCAGUGUACCCGCGGCAAGACGGAAAGACCCCGUGAACCUUUACUAUAGCUUGACACUGAACAUUGAGCCUUGAUGUGUAGGAUAGGUGGGAGGCUUGGAAGUGUGGACGCCAGUCUGCAUGGAGCCGACCUUGAAAUACCACCCUUUAAUGUUUGAUGUUCUAACGUUGACCCGUAAUCCGGGUUGCGGACAGUGUCUGGUGGGUAGUUUGACUGGGGCGGUCUCCUCCUAAAGAGUAACGGAGGAGCACGAAGGUUGGCUAAUCCUGGUCGGACAUCAGGAGGUUAGUGCAAUGGCAUAAGCCAGCUUGACUGCGAGCGUGACGGCGCGAGCAGGUGCGAAAGCAGGUCAUAGUGAUCCGGUGGUUCUGAAUGGAAGGGCCAUCGCUCAACGGAUAAAAGGUACUCCGGGGAUAACAGGCUGAUACCGCCCAAGAGUUCAUAUCGACGGCGGUGUUUGGCACCUCGAUGUCGGCUCAUCACAUCCUGGGGCUGAAGUAGGUCCCAAGGGUAUGGCUGUUCGCCAUUUAAAGUGGUACGCGAGCUGGGUUUAGAACGUCGUGAGACAGUUCGGUCCCUAUCUGCCGUGGGCGCUGGAGAACUGAGGGGGGCUGCUCCUAGUACGAGAGGACCGGAGUGGACGCAUCACUGGUGUUCGGGUUGUCAUGCCAAUGGCACUGCCCGGUAGCUAAAUGCGGAAGAGAUAAGUGCUGAAAGCAUCUAAGCACGAAACUUGCCCCGAGAUGAGUUCUCCCUGACCCUUUAAGGGUCCUGAAGGAACGUUGAAGACGACGACGUUGAUAGGCCGGGUGUGUAAGCGCAGCGAUGCGUUGAGCUAACCGGUACUAAUGAACCGUGAGGCUUAACCUU